rnacentral:rRNA from 1 species
UACGUAGGGUGCAAGCGUUGUCCGGAAUUAUUGGGCGUAAAGAGCUCGUAGGCGGUUUGUCGCGUCGGCUGUGAAAUCUCGGGGCUUAACCCCGAGCCUGCAGUCGAUACGGGCAGACUUGAGUUCGGUAGGGGAGACUGGAAUUCCUGGUGUAGCGGUGAAAUGCGCAGAUAUCAGGAGGAACACCGGUGGCGAAGGCGGGUCUCUGGGCAGUAACUGACGCUGAGGAGCGAAAGCGUGGGGAGCGAACAGG